rnacentral:lncRNA from 1 species
UGAAAGUUUAGGAUCUAAUUUAAAUUCUGCCACUUGCUAACAGGGUGGCACUAUGUUCUGAUAAAAGGAUGUAUUUCCCAGCUUCUUUUAAAU